CAGGCUAGUCUCAAACUCCUGACCUCAGGUGAUCUGCCCACCUCAGCCUUCCUAAAUGCUGGGAUUACAGGUGUGAGCACCGCACCUGACUACAAUAGUUGCUCUUAUCUUUUGAGUUCUCAAGGUAUGUGAGGACAUAACACUUGCAUCUAAGAAUCUUAUAAAAGGGGAGAAGACUAAAUAGAAUACGGUUAAGAAAAAUACUGACAGAGAUGCGGAGAGUUAAUUCAGUGAAAUCAUAGAAGGUGAUGAAAGGCUUUCCUGAAGAAGUAAAUAUAAAAGUUAGCUAAAUGUAGAAAAUAGUUAAAAGCAAUCUCAGAUAGAAAGAACAGCAUAUUCAGGGUACAGAAGUAAGACCCAGCACAACGCAUUCUGGCAACUGUCCUUGUUGACAAACACAGGGGCGAUUCACAUUAUUUUACAUAUCCCAGAGCCUACCAUAGUGCCUGGUUCUUGGUAGACACUCAAAUGUUAGAUGAAUAUAUACCUAAAGUGGCAUCAGUAUGUGACAUCAUUCAAGGGAGAGAUCAUGAAGAACUCAGAAACCCAUUCAUAGGAGCUCACAGUUUAUCUGGGAAGCAGUGAGGAGCCAUAAAAAAAUUGGAGUAUGAGAAUAACACAAUUUGUUAUUUUAGAAAGGUUCUUUGGCAGCUCAGUAAAAGAUGGAUUGGGGUUUUAAGGAGGAGAGAGUAAAUGAAGGGAAUCUGAAUGUAUGUGCAUGAACAUACAUAUAUACAUGCUUGUGAGUAGGCAUUGGGUAAUGGUGGUGAGAGUGUUCUGGAGUUGAACUGGUGAUAUUGAGUUUACCUAGGAGGCUUCUGAAAUAAUACAAGGAAGAAAUGUUUAGUGUGAACUCAGACAAUGACUGUAGGCCUGAUAAGCAAGGGAUGAAUUUGAGAGUGAUUUAGGAGAUGGAAUAAACAGUACAUAGUGUCCAGUUGUAAGAAGUACUUGAGGAGGUAACAUCCUGGAUGACUCCUAGAUGGAAAAAUAGGUGUGUGUUCUAUUUUGUUCAGGUUUUUUUUUCCAGGAAGCUAAGAUGUCUCAUGACUAUUUGUGGUUGAACACAACUAAGGAACCUCUAUUUCUUAGGAGACGAGAGCUAAAUGAGAGCUAAAAAUACACUUUUUCUAUUUUAGAGUAUAGAUUGUAUUCUCUAGUAGAGCUUGAACGAACUUUGAACUCAAACUUUGGUUGGAAUCUUGGUUCUCACAUUACUAGUAGCUAUGUGCUUUAAAACAAAUUAUUUAGUUUCACUAAGACUCGGCUUACUCAUUUGUAAAGUUGGGAGAAUAAUAGCCUUUUAAGUUUAUACUUAAAUGAGAUGAGCUUCUGGGUCUAGAAAAUAAUGGCAACUUUCCAAAUCUAAAUCUCUCUACAUGUCCUCCCCAAAAGCUGCUAGAACAAAAGGACUCCACACACAUACACACACACAUAUACACACACAAACCAUACAAAACUCACACUUGCAGCACUACUACAAGACAGAUGAUACCAUGAAUUUUUAAAUUUCCUUUAUGUUAAGAAAAUAGCACAUUACAGUGGUUCAUUUUGCUGCUACAAACCUGUGAGUGGGAAAAGUUGAGUAAGGAGAGGCUUAAAAGACCAAGAAAAGAGGAGAGGGAACAGAGGUUAAAAUAAAGCACAGGCAAAAUCACCCUGAGAAAAAAUCCCCAACAUUGCCAAAUACAAAGACCAGCCUAGGUCUUGGUAAUUUAUAUAACUACCUGCAGGAAGCUGUAUGAAAGUGGGAGGGACCAGAAGUAGCAGCUUCAGAGUAGUAUUGCUUCUAGAAGAAGAGACAGAGAAAAGGUGAUACCUCUUGGAAGCAUGGCAGCAAGGGCAAAGAAGGACGUGAGGAGAAAAUUGAGGCUGCUAGAGAAAUAAAAGAGAAAUAAGGCAUGGCAACCCAUCCCCUCACUCAACAGCUCCACCAUAACACAUUCGUUGUAGGCACUUCUCUUUACUAAGCUGCAGAAGUGAAUGCUCUCAAACUAAAUACCCAAGAACCCUAUUCACAAAAUGCUCAAGAAUAGAAAUGAAUUAAAUGCUAUACAAAGCUACUUUAAGAGGAAUACAGAAAUUUAAAUGAAAGUGUUUCUGUUGAUAAAACUUCUUCCCCAAAAAGCAAAUACAAAGGGGAAGUGCAUCUCAGUGCUCCAACCAAAUAAAAUAUUCUCAAACAAAUCUGUGAACAUACUACAAAAACCACAGACUUAGAAGAAGCAGAAAUCCAAACUCUGAGAUG